rnacentral:rRNA from 1 species
AAGUCGAACGGCAGCACGGGGAGCUUGCUCUCUGGUGGCGAGUGGCGGACGGGUGAGUAACGCGUAGGAAUCUAUCCUUUAGCGGGGGACAACUCGGGGAAACUCGAGCUAAUACCGCAUAAUCUUGAAAAAGCAAAGUCUGGGAUCUUCGGACCAGAUGCUGAAGGGUGAGCCUGCGUCGGAUUAGCUUGUUGGUGGGGUAAAGGCCUACCAAGGCAAUGAUCUGUAGCUGGUCUGAGAGGAUGACCAGUCACACUGGGACUGAGACACGGCCCAGACUCCUACGGGAGGCAGCAGUGGGGAAUAUUGGACAAUGGGGGCAACCCUGAUCCAGCGAUGCCGCGUGUGUGAAGAAGGCCUGAGGGUUGUAAAGCACUUUCAAUUGGGAAGAAGCAAUUUGCGUUAAUAGCGUGAUGCGUUGACAUUACCAAUACAAGAAGCACCGGCUAACUCUGUGCCAGCAGCCGCGGUAAUACAGAGGGUGCAAGCGUUAAUCGGAAUUACUGGGCGUAAAGCGCACGUAGGUGGGCUAGUAAGUUGUUGGUGAAAAGCUUGGGCUUAACCUGAGUCUGCCCAGCAAAACUGUUAGUCUAGAGUGUAUUAGAGGGAAGUGGAAUUUCCGGUGUAGUAGUGAAAUGCGUAGAUAU